rnacentral:rRNA from 1 species
UGGGGAAUAUUGGACAAUGGGGGCAACCCUGAUCCAGCAAUGCCGCGUGUGUGAAGAAGGCCUUCGGGUUGUAAAGCACUUUUGUCAGUGAGGAAUGGUGCACAGUUAAUAGCUGUGUAUUUGACGUUAGCUGAAGAAUAAGCACCGGCUAACUCCGUGCCAGCAGCCGCGGUAAUACGGAGGGUGCGAGCGUUAUUCGGAAUUACUGGGCGUAAAGGGUACGCAGGCGGCCAUUUAAGUCAGAUGUGAAAGCCCCGGGCUCAACCUGGGAAUUGCAUUUGAAACUGGAUGGCUAGAGUAUGUCAGAGGAAGGCGGAAUUUCCAGUGUAGCAGUGAAAUGCGUAGAUAUUGGAAGGAACACCGAUGGCGAAGGCAGCCUUCUGGGGCAAUACUGACGCUCAUGUACGAAAGCGUGGGUAGCAAACA